AGCUGACCAAAAAUGAAGCAUGAAGAAUGAGUUACACAGCCUGGCCUCCACCUGGACCAAGUCAUGUGUUAUCCUUCCUCAAGAGCUCUUCCAAGGACUACAGCAAACACCAGAAAGGCAGAAUAUUCCUUACGUAAUGUCUAAAUACUCAAUGCAGAAUUCAAACCUGGCAAUGAAACUGAA
rnacentral:lncRNA from 1 species